rnacentral:lncRNA from 1 species
AUGGAGGUAGAGCUAUGGGCUGCCAUCCCCGUGUGCAUGAUGAUGUUGUGCACAUUGUACAGCCGUGCAUGGUGAUCUUUAUCAACUAAAAUCAUCUUAAUAGUUCUCACACUCCAGCAACUUAGGUUAUAUGGCUCAUCCGUUCUUCAAGAUAAACGCCGCCACAUAGAAUGGGGAACACUGAUUGUUGGGGUUGUCCUGCACACACAAAAGUGUCCUAAUUGGAUCACAAACCAGCUGAGGGCUUCUUGUGUACCUUUUCUUAAAAGUAGAAUGAUGCAAGAAUAUGAACCAUGAUCAAUGAAAAAAGACAGAAUUUGUUAUGCUAUUUCUUUGUGGUUGUAGUUGUAAGCCAGGUAUUUCUACAUGUUAGAACAUGCUUGGAUACAGAAAAUUCGGAGAAAACUUGCAGAAACCGGCCUACUUCUGCAUAGGGAAAAUGAUUUUAUAUGAUAUAUUGACAGUACAAAUAUUAAAUACACAGAAAAAUAAACAUCAUAUGGCCCAUACAUAUUUCUUUUAGAGAUUGGCUUCUGGCACAUUGCCCAUAAAUAGCAAAGACCAAUCUGAUGUAAUUGAAAAGACGACCUGAAAUAGAUAAAAAAACAUCAUAUUGUGUAUAGCCAAGGAGAAUUGUUUUUUAGCAGAUUUCUCCAUUUCUAGGUCUUUAUGAAAGAGCCAGGAAAAUGUGCAGGAUAGGUGGAGCAUAAGAGGUGUCAAAAUAUGGAGAAGCUGCUGCUGAAAGAGGUCUGCAUUUGCACAUGAGGAAGAUGAGAGGAAGAAAGGCAGCCGACUUGCUUCCAAACAAGAAUAGAAGUUAAUUGUAGUCUGUUGAUUGAGUCAUCCACAGCAAGUAUACAGAUUGGGAUCAUUCCUUGGAUAAUGACAGCGAGGCCAACCUCUGCUGUGCCAAAUCCAUCCUGCUGUUGCCGCAUAAGGGGGAAGAGAUUAUCCAUAAACAACGGACAAUUGAGCCAAUUAAACCUAAAAGUAGUACAACCCUAACUAACCCUAAAACAUCAACAUGAAUGAAACAGAGCACAAGAGAUUCCUUCCAUGGCCAGGGAGAAGAGCAUAACUAACCCUAAUCAAAUCCAAGAGGAGAGAUCUGACCUUAGAGAGAAGAGCUCCCAUGACCUUCAUGGACAGGAAGAUGUUGGAAUUAUGCCCUAGAGGCAAUAAUAAAUGUAUAGUUAUUAUUAUAAUUCCUGUAUCAAGAUAAUAGUUUAUUAUCCAUGCUAUAAUUGUAUUGAAUGAAGGCUCAUUUACAUGUGUGGAUACAUAGACAAAACACCGUCCCUAGCAUGCCUCUAGUUGGCUAGCCAGUUGAUCGAUGAUAGUCAGUGUCUUCUGAUUAUGAACAAGGUGUUGUUGCUUGAUAACUGGAUCACGUCAUUAGGAGAAUCACGUGAUGGACUAGACCCAAACUAAUAGACGUAGCAUGUUGAUCGUGUCAUUUUGUUGCUACUGUUUUCUGCGUGUCAAGUAUUUAUUCCUAUGACCAUGAGAUCAUAUAACUCACUGACACCGGAGGAAUGCUUUGUGUGUAUCAAACGUCGCAACGUAACUGGGUGACUAUAAAGAUGCUCUACAGGUAUCUCCGAAGGUGUUAGUUGAGUUAGUAUGGAUCAAGACUGGGAUUUGUCACUCCGUGUGACGGAGAGGUAUCUCGGGGCCCACUCGGUAAUACAACAUCACACACAAGCCUUGCAAGCAAUGUAACUUAGUGUAAGUUGCGGGAUCUUGUAUUACGGAACGAGUAAAGAGACUUGCCGGUAAACGAGGUUGAAAUAGGUAUGCGGAUACUGACGAUCGAAUCUCGGGCAAGUAACAUACCGAAGGACAAAGGGAAUGACAUACGGGAUUAUACGAAUCCUUGGCACUGAGGUUCAAACGAUAAGAUCUUCGUAGAAUAUGUAGGAUCCAAUAUGGGCAUCCAGGUCCCGCUAUUGGAUAUUGACCGAGGAGUCUCUCGGGUCAUGUCUACAUAGUUCUCGAACCCGCAGGGUCUGCACACUUAAGGUUCGACGUUGUUUUAUGCGUAUUUGAGUUAUAUGGUUGGUUACCGAAUGUUGUUCGGAGUCCCGGAUGAGAUCACGGACGUCACGAGGGUUUCCGGAAUGGUCCGGAAAUGAAGAUUGAUAUAUAGGAUGACCUCAUUUGAUUACCGGAAGGUUUUCGGAGUUACCGGGAAUGUACCGGGAAUGACGAAUGGGUUCCGGGGGUUCACCGGAGGGGGGCAACCCACUCCGGGGAAGCCCAUAGGUAUUUAGGGGGGUCACACCAGCCCUUAGUGGGCUGGUGGGACAGCCCACCAAAUCCUAUGCGCCAAGGAAGAGAAAAUAUCAAAGGAAAGAAAAAAAAAGGGAGAGGUGGGAAGGGGGAAGGACUCCCUCCCACCAAACCAAGUAGGACUCGGUUUGGGGGGGGGAGAGUCCUCCCCCCUGGCUCGGCCGACCCCUUGGGGUUCCCUUGGACCCCAAGGCAAGGUCUCCCUCCCUCCUCCUAUAUAUAUGGGGCUUUUAGGGCAGAUUUGAGACGACUUUCUCACGGCUGCCCGACCACAUACCUCCAUAGUUUUUCCUCUAGAUCGUGUUUCUGCGGAGCUCGGGCGGAGCCCUGCUGAGACAAGAUCAUCACCAACCUCCGGAGCGCCGUCACGCUGCCGGAGAACUCUUCUACCUCUCCGUCUCUCUUGCUGGAUCAAGAAGGCCGAGAUCAUCGUCGAGCUGUACGUGUGCUGAACGCGGAGGUGCCGUCCGUUCGGUACUAGAUCGUGGGACUGAUCGCGGGAUUGUUCGCGGGGCGGAUCGAGGGACGUGAGGACGUUCCACUACAUCAACCGCGAUCUCUAAUCGCUUCUGCUGUACGAUCUACAAGGGUACGUAGAUCACUCAUCCACUCUCGUAGAUGGACAUCACCAUGAUAGGUCUUCGUGCGCGUAGGAAAUUUUUUGUUUCCCAUGCGACGUUCCCCAACAGAAGAAGCCCAAGUCUCUGGCGAGCUUCACUU